ensembl:misc_RNA Metazoa_SRP Metazoan signal recognition particle RNA
GCCGGGCACGGUGGCGCAUCCCUGCAGUCCCAGCUACUCCGGAGGCUGAGGUGGGAGGAUCGCUUGAGCCCAGGAGUUCUGGGCGGUAGUGCGCUAUCCCAAUGGGGUGUCCGCACUAAGUUCAGCAUCAAUAUGAUGACCUCCUGGGCGUGGAGGACCACAAGGUUGCCUAAGGAGGGGUCAACCGGCACAGGUUGGAAACAGAGCAGGUCAAAACUCCCAUGCUGAUCAGUAGUGGGAUCGCGCCUGUGAAUAGCCACUGCACUCCAGCCUGGGCAACAUAGUGAGACCCCGUCACUA